rnacentral:rRNA from 1 species
UACAGAGGUCCCAAGCGUUGUUCGGAUUCAUUGGGCGUAAAGGGUGCGUAGGUGGCGCCGUAAGUCGGGUGUGAAACCUCCAGGCUCAACCUGGAGACGCCAUCCGAUACUGCUGUGGCUAGAGUCCGGUAGGGGAGCGUGGAAUUCCUGGUGUAGCGGUGAAAUGCGCAGAUAUCAGGAGGAACACCAGCGGCGAAGGCGGCGCUCUGGGCCGGAACUGACGCUGAGGAGCGAAAGCGUGGGGAGCGAACAGG